CUAAUGCUUCUGAAAUUGAAUAAAAUCCUUUGUAAAGAGGGUUUGGAAAAUUCUUAAUACAAUCUGAAACUUCUAACCAGGUAUGAUAUAUUCCUGGAAGUCUUCCAUUUAAAACAACAUAACAUUUAAAUUGUUUAUGAUCUUGACUAAAAUGUUCUGAAAGAGCAUUUAAACAUGCUAAAAAAUAUUUUUGAUCUUUUGGAUUCUUAUUAUAAGAAAUCCAUAAAUUAUCUAAAAUACAUUUUUCUGCCUUUGUAACUGAAAUAUGAGAAAGUGUCUUAAAACUAAUAUUGCUAUUAGGAAAACAAAUAAGUUCUAUAUUACCAAAUCUUAACUUAUCAUGAGUCUGUAGUAUAUUUGUCUGAGAACUUGAACUGCCAACGAUUGGCAAUCCUGGUCUGGGACCUUUUGGUCUUUGCAUCUGCAAUAAAUAUUUAUUCAUAAUCUUUAUUUUUAAUUAUUCUACUUAAAAUAUCUGCAAUCUGAUUAUCACUACCUUUAAUAUGCUCAAAAUUAAUUACUAAUCCAGUAUUAGUAAUUCUAUCUAUAAAAUUUAACCAUCUUCUUCUAUUACUUCUUUUAUUUUCUAAUUUCAUUUUAUUAACAAAACUAACAAUUGCUUCACAAUCUGUUCUUAAGGUAAUUUCUUUUUUAGAGAUAAUAAACAAUUCAAAAGAAUCUAAUGCAUAAUUUACUGCAAGUAAUUCUAAAUCUAUACUACUUAUAUUACCUUUUUCUUUAUAAUUUCCACUAUUAUAUCUUACUAUUUUUUCAGUAUCUUUAUCUGAAUAUUUGUUGGGUUUUGCAAUAAGUAUUGCUCCCCAUCCUGUUAUACUGCCAUCUGUCUCAAUAAUUAAGUAAUCUGUUUCUAAUGACAUAGAUAAUUUAGGCAAAUCUUUUAAUUUUUCUUUUAUUUUUU
rnacentral:lncRNA from 1 species